CAAACUCAAAGUGACCGUCAAGGUAAAGUGUCUUCAACGAAGAGAUGCUGCGAGAGAAACAACAAUCUGAUGUGAAGGCUAUGCAGCUCAGGACCAUCAAGCACAUGCCAAGUUGAAGGAAAAAGUCACCAGAAAGAAAGAUGCAGCAUAUCUUUGAUCUUUUCACAACAGUUGCAGCCACAAUCUUGCCUUUAUGGAAGAAAAGGCAAACACGAUCAUGCCAAAACACUUCUGCUUUGAAACUUACCGUAUGAAGGACGCUUUUAGGACUUAGCCAUGGCGUAUCUGCUUUUGGGUCAGAUUAGAGGCAAAAGGGAUUGGUAUCUGAUUCAUCUUGGGAGGAAAAGGAUGGUAAGCACUGAACCUGAGGGGUCCGACGUGGAAUGGGGAGGCAAAGAUGAUCAUGUUGGGACCCUCAACUUCAAGCGGGCCAAUUUCCACAUUCCAAUGAAGGCAAACAUAAAAAUGAGGCUUUGACAGCUUAAGGGAAGCAACCAAUGCAUUACUCUUUCUGUUACUGAGUUUGAAGCAUGCAGACAAAGUCACCCAGCAGUUCGAUAGCAAAGGGAGGCCUCAGCUCAAGACAAAAUCAUCUGAUAUUGUCUAUUUAGCUUGGUAGGGGUUAAUUUCUGCUUCCUGAGCAUUUAGUUUGUUUUCCUGUCGACUCAUACGGUAGCUUCCCCUUUUUUUUUUGUUACAUGUAUCGAGACAGAAAGAUUUGUGUCGGGAACAGGGUCAUCUUUGAGAGAACCAAUGCAAGUACGGUGUCACUGACCAGAUUCUAGAAAUGGCAAUUUACGAAGGGACUUGGUUCUUUUGUGCGUCUGGCUAGAGUGUAUGAUAUGCUGAGGGAUCUAACAGAAAAAGGAGAGAGAGAGAGACCGGUGACUGGGGGUGCCUACUUAAGCGUUAGAUGGACGUUGUGGUAGUAGUGGGUCAGUGAGUGUGACCACACUGGUGAUAUGCGCCACUGUAAAGUUCACGUGCCUCUGAAAUUUUGCAAGUCAAGUUGGUCUUUUUUU